rnacentral:rRNA from 1 species
UACGGGAGGCAGCAGUGGGGAAUCUUGCACAAUGGGGAAACCCUGAUGCAGCGACGCCGCGUGAGCGAUGAAGCCCUUCGGGGUGUAAAGCUCUUUCGUCAGGGAAGAUCAUGACGGUACCUGGAGAAGCAGCUGCGGCUAACUACGUGCCAGCAGCCGCGGUAAUACGUAGGCAGCAAGCGUUGUUCGGAGUUACUGGGCGUAAAGGGUGUGUAGGCGGUUCUUAAGUUUGGUGUGAAAUCUCCCGGCUCAACCGGGAGGUGCGCCGAAUACUGAGGGACUAGAGUGUGGGAGAGGAAAGUGGAAUUCCUGGUGUAGCGGUGAAAUGCGUAGAUAUCAGGAGGAACACCGGUGGUGUAGACGGCUUUUCUGGACCAUAACUGACGCUGAGACACGAAAGCGUGGGGUAGCAAACAGGGAUUAGAUACC